rnacentral:lncRNA from 1 species
CAAGGCCUCAGGUAACAAUUGUUUCGUCCUCCUGAACGCUCCCCUGGACGAGAUAUUUUAGGCGCCUCUUAGCAUAGGUGGGACUGUAUAAACCCCAACGUCAGGAUCCCCCUGAAGAGGGCCACCAUAAGCCGUAUAAGGGUCACUGCGGAACUGCAGGUCAGGACUCACUCUGGCUCUGUAGUCCAAAGAUGGUGGAGCAUGGGCUCUUGUUCUCUCCAGUCACUCACACACACACACACCAGAAUUGACAAGCCUUCCAAUACCAAGGCAGCAAACCCUGACCUGAGUGACCCUUUGGUCACUGAGAGGUGAUCAGUCUCUCCUUCCACCGUAUGGCGGGUCCUGACUUAGGCAGAUGUCCCCGGGGCAUUCACCAGCCCAACGUCCUGUCCUGGAACCUGUUUCCACUCUCCUUCUGAGUCCAUUCGGGAAGCGGUGUGGGCCAAGGCCAGCAUGGCCCGAGUGAGGGUCUGGAUCCAGCAAAAUGGCCAGUGCGCGCUAUCCACUUUUCACCGGGCCGGCGACCAUGGCCUCCCCCAGGUUCCCCGACAACGGUGGCACAAGAGGCCAGCUGGGUCAUCGGCUUCCCGGCCAACGCACCAAAAUGCUGCAGAAACCGCAAAAACUGUUGCAACGGAAGGAGACAAACAGCACUCGGAGAUAUGGAAAAGCAAGGUUUAUUCAGCACCGGUGCAGGCUCAGAGGAGUCACCUCCAGAGUCUGAGCACCAGGUCUUUGUUCUCAGUAACUUUUAUACACUACAAGGUCUUGAUUUUCCCAUGUAAGCAUCCCGGACCUCCCCCAUCCCCAAGCAGACAGUGUUCCUCCCUAAGAAACUGAGCAAACAAGGUUACAGAAGCAGAACUGAUAAGCAAUGCUGGGUACCUAAUUAGUAGGGCUGCUGGCUUGGACAGAGGGCACACAGUUGUUAUAUUGUUACAAGAAGGGUGGCAUAGUGAUAGCACAGCUGGAAAGGCUUGCAGCUGCCUUCUUAGCCAAGCGGGGGUUGUUCCUUAGUUAAAACUCCAUUUCAAUUGGAGACCCAAGUGUGCCUGUUUAAGGAUCCCUAAUGGUAGUAGGCCAUGCCCAUCUCUGGAGUCAGAGAUAAUUGCAGUGGUUUGCCCCUGCCUCCUGCAAACCAUGCAAGAAACACCCCAUCUCACUUAGGCCCCACAGGAGGUGUUGCACCAUCUGCUUCUAGUUGUAGGUUCCUGGGAAGGGCUGCUAGUGGUGCGUGUUCAUGGACCCCUAGUGGUUACUGGCAAUGCCUACAUCUGGAGUCAGAGAUAAGUGUGGUGGUUCACCCCUGCCACCUCUAUACCACACAAGAAGAACUUUAUCCCAUUUAGCCCCUAUAGGAGAUGUUGCACCAUCUGCUCCUAAUUGUAGGUUCCUGGGAAUGGAUAGUGAUCAAGCAUCUGGGCACUACCCAGAGCAUUUAACAGUGGCAAGAGCAGGGGCAGUAUAAUCCCAUGGGGGCAAGAGCAACAGGUGGUAUUCUGUUGAAAUGUCCUCCUCUGCGGUGCCCUCUGUGGUGUUUGGGGCUACAAGUGGUACUUGUUCAGGGAUCCCCAGUUGAGGUGGGCCACACACACCUCUGGAGUCAGAGAUAACUGUAGUGGUUUGCCCCCUCCACUUUCAGACCAUGCAAGAAGAACCCUGUCCUGCUUAGUCCAUGCAGGAGGUGCUGCAUCAGCUGCUCCUAGUUGUAGGGUCUUGAGAAGGCACCAUGAUCAAGUGCCUGGUUGCUGCCCAGAGCUUUUGGCAGUGGCAGCUGCAGGGUGGGUGUGUUCCCAGAGGAGCGAGAGCAAAAACAUAUGGUGCUUGGUUGCAGUGUCCUAUUUUCUUUUUUUUUCUUUUUUUUGGGGGGGGGCAACCCCUGAGAUGACUGGGGCCACAGCUGGAGCCCACUCACAUGCCCCAAGGGUGGCAGACUUCUGAGAUGACCUCCGCAAUCCAUCCCUUCUGCCUGUGGAUCAGGCAAGAGGCACUAUGGCACACUUAGCCUCCCACUGCCCUUAGACCACACAAGAGGUUCCCGGUCACCUGUAGACUGCACAAGAAGAAUCAGUCUCCCAUAGCCUUAGCAAGUGUCUUCUCACUACCUGUAGCCUAGGCCAGAGGAGCCCUUCCCUCUGAGGGCCCACAAGCAUGUGUGCAGGGGGAUUACUAUGGCAUUCCUCCCCUCCUCCUCUCACCCUCCCCAUAAAUGGUUACUUGCUUCCUCUGUGUUCCCAGACCUUCUCCCAGGUUCCCUCUGCCAUUGUGCUCCACUCCCCAGCCUUUUGAACACUGCUCUCCCACCCAUGAUACACCACUCCUUAGCCUUUCAGGCUGUCCCCACACAACCAACCCUAGUCUUCUCCCCAGAACUGAUCUCUGGAGCCUAAGUCUCAGUGCCCAGCCCCUGCCCUAGCAUCUCAGGCGCUGGUAUCUGUGGAUGUGGUGCAGAUCACCUGUGUGGCUCUCACUCUACUUUGCAAUCCUCAGUGCAGCUGCUGUGCUUUUCUCAGUGACUUUGAGGUCCCUCCAUCUCAGCUGAUCCCCCAUCAGUUAGGGGGUUUCCCAGGAUGUGGGUUUCUUUUCUCUUUCACAGCUCCCUCUCGGAAAUCUUAUUCCCAUCCUGAUUCCUUCUCUUUCUCUCUCUCUCUUAUUCUUUUGUUCUACCCGGUUAUGUCAAGAGAUUCUUGCCCUUUAUGGAGGUUUAAUUUCUUUUUCUAGCAUUCAGUAGAUGUUCUGUAUGAGUCAUUUUACAUCUAGAUGUGUUUUUUUGAUGUGUUUGUGGGACAAGGUGAGCACGACCUCUUACUCCUCUGCCAUCUUGAUCCCCUCAAUAAAAGUUUUUGACAAAAUUCAAAACCUAUUCCUGAUAAAAAUUCUCCAGAGUGUGGGCAUUAGGAGAACUAUCUCAAUAUAAUAAAAGCCAUUUAUCACAAACCCACUGCAAACAGCAUUCUCAAUGGUGAAAAUCCGAAAGCAUUUCAUUUAAGAUCAAUAAGUAGACAAGGAUGUCCUCUUUCACCAAUGUUAUUCAACAUAUCCUUGUAAGUUGUAGCCAUGGAAACCAGAGAAUGAAAAGAAAUAAAAGGAAUCCAAUUUGGAAAAGAAUAAAUAAAACUAUAAUUAUUUGUAGAUGACAUGAUUUUAUACCUAGAAAAUCCUAAAAAUAAUACCAAAAAAUUAUUAGAGCUCAUCAAUAUGUUUGGUAAAGUCACAGGAUAUAAAAUUAAUACACAGAAAUUGAUUGCACUUCUAGAUACCAAUAAUUAAAUAUCAGAAAGAGAAAUUAGGGAAACCAUCCCAUUUACCUUUGUGCAUCAAAAAGAAUAAAAUAUCUAGGAGUAAGGCUACCUAAAGAGACAAAAGACCUGUACUCUGAAAACUACAGGACACUGAUGAAAGAAAUCAAAAAAGACACAAAUAGAUGGAAAAAUAUACCAUGAUCUUGGGUUGGAAGAAUCAAUAUGUUCAAAAUGACAAUAUGACCUAAGGCAAUCUACACAUUCAAUGCAAUCCCUAUCAAAUUACCAAUAGCAUUCUUUACAUAACUAGAACAAAAUAUUUAAAAAUUUUGUAUGGAAACACAAAAGACCUUGAAUAGCCAAAGCAAUGUUGAAAAAAAGAGAGAGAAAGCAGAGGAAUCAGGCUCCCUGACUUCAGGCACUACUACAAAGCCACAGUUAUCAAAACUGUAUGAUAUUCACACAAAAACAGAAAUAUAGAUCAAUGGAAUAGGAUCAAAAACUCAGAAAUAAAUCCAAACACCUAUGGUCAAUUAAUCUAUGACAAAAGAUGCAAGAACAGUGGAGGAAAGACAGUCUCUUUAAUAAAUGUUGCUGGGAAAACUGGACAACUGCAUGUAAGACAAUGAAAUUAGGAUGUUGUCUAACACCAUACACAAAAAUAAACUCCAAAUGGAUUGAUGAUCUAAAUGUGAGGCCAGACAAUAUAAAACUCCUAGAAGAAAACCUAGGCAGAACACUUCGACAUAAAUCACAGAAACAUCUUGUUUGACCACCUCCUAGAAUAAAGACAAUAAAGACACACAAAAACCAAUGGGACCUAAUUAAACUCAAAAGCUUCUGCACAACAAAGGAAAGCAUUUUAAAAAAAUAAAAAGACAACCCACAGAAUGGGAGAAAAUUUUUGCAAAUGACCCAAACAACAAAAGUUUAAUAUCCAAAAUGUACAAACAACUCAAACAAGUCAACAACAACAAAACAAUCCAAAUGAAAGAUAGGCAGAAGACCUAAAGAAACAUUUCUCCAAAUAAGACAUACAAAUUUCCAGGAGGUACAUGAAAAAAUGCUCAACAUCAUCCAUUAUUAGAGAAAUGCAAAUCAAAACCACAAUGAGGUACCACCUUACACCAAUUGAAGUGGUCAUUAUUAACAACUCAACAAAUAACAAAUGCUGGAGAGGAUGUGGAGAAGGGGAAACCCUCCUACACUCUUGGAGGAAAUGUAAUAUGGUACAACCACUUUGGAAAACAGUAUGGAAAUACCUCAGAAAUCUAAAUAUAUAACAACCAUAUGACCCAGCAACCCCACUCCUUGCCAUAUAUCCAGACAAAAAUUUCCUUGAAAAGGAUAUAUGUACAUCACAGCACUAUUCGCAAUAACUAAGACAAGGAACCAACCUAAAUGCCCAUCAAUGGAUGAAUGGAUUAGGAAGAUGUGGUACAUAUAUGAAACGGAAUACUACUCAGCCAUAAAUAAGGACAAAAUAAUACCAUUUGCAGUAACAUGGACGAAAUUAGAGACUCUCAUACUGAGUGAAGUAUGUCAGAAAGAGAAAACAGACAUCCUAUGGUGUCACUUAAAUGUGGAGUCUAAAAUAUGGCACAAAUGAUCUAUCUACAAAACAGAAAAGAACAAGGACAUGUAGGACGGACUUGUGUUUGCUGGGGGGAGGGGGAGAGGGAUGGAUUGGGAAUAUGGGGUUAGUAGAUGAAAACUUUUGCAUUUGGAGUGGAUGGGCAAUGAGAUCCUGCUGUAUAGCAAAGGGGACUAUAUAUCUAAUUGCUUGUGAUGGAACAUGAUGGAGGAUAAUAUGAGAAAAAGAAUAUAUAUAUAUGUCACUUUGCUGUGCAGAAAUUUACAGAGCAUUGUAAAUCAACCAUAACAAAAAAUUUUAAAAAGUACUAGCUGACUACUCCCAAAACUUGAUGAAAUGUGUGAAUAUACAAAUCCAAAAACACAAAUUCCAAAUUGAUAAGCCCCAAAGAUCUACAUCAAGAUACAACAUUAUCGUUAAAAUGUUAAAAGACAAAUAUAAAAAGAGACUCUUAAAGGCAGCAAUAGAGAAGUGACUUACUACGUGUUAAUAUCUUCAAAAAGAUUUCCACUAAUGUAUCAACAGAAACCUUCAAAUCAAGUAGCUAGUAGGAAAAUAUAUUUAGAGUACUGAAAGAACAAAAAAAUUUUCAAUGAAAAUUCUAUACUUGGCAAAAACAUCCUUCAAAAAAUAGUGAGAAAUGUCACGCUGAGAACUAUGUCUAGUCACUUAUGAUGGAGCAUUAUAAUGGGAGAAAAAAGAAUGUAUACAUGUGUGUAACUGGGUGACCACGCUGUACAGUAGGAAAAAAAAUUGUAUUGGGGGAAAAAAAAAGAAAUGUCCAAGAUGGCGAAGUAGGAAUAUCCUCAGCUCAGCUCCUCCAAUGGACACCCUGAAAUUACAACAAUUUAUAGAGCAACCAUUGAUGAGAAUGACCUUAAGACUAGCAGAAAAUGAAUUCCUGCUGUGGUGUAGUGUGUUAGGAACAAGACUGCAAUGGCUAAAUUCACUCCACAGGUGGGGGUUUAAUCCCCAGCCCAGCGCAGAAGGUUAAAGGAUCCAGUGUUGCCAAUAGCCAGGACAUGGAAACAAUCCAAAUGUCCAUCGACAGAUGAUUGGAUUCAGAAGAUGUGGUAUAUAUACACAAUGGAAUACGACUCAGCCAUAAAAAAGGAUGACAUCAUGCCAUUUGCAGCAACAUGGAUGGAACUAGAGAAUCUCAUACUGAGUGAAAUGAGCCAGAAAGACAAAGGCAAAUACCAUAUGAUAUCACUUAUAACUGGAAUCUAAUAUCCAGCACAAAUGAACAUCUCCUCAGAAAAGAAAAUCAUGGACUUGGAGAAGAGACUUGUGGUUGCCUGAUGGGAGGGGGAGGGAGUGGAAGGGAUCGGGAGCUUGGGCUUAUCAGACACAACCUAGAAUAGAUUUACAAGGAGAUCCUGCUGAAUAGCAUUGAGACUAUGUCUAGAUACUCAUGUUGCAACAGAAGAAAUGGUGGGGGGAAAACUGUAAUUGUAAUGUAUACAUGUAAGGAUAACCUGACCCCCUUGCUGUACAGUGGGAAAAUAAAAUAAAAAAAAAUAAAGUAUAAAGGACUAAUAAAAAAAAAAGGAUCCAGUGUUGC